rnacentral:rRNA from 1 species
GAUCAGCCCGCUCCCGGUAAAAAGGGACGGCCCGCCAGAGGACCCCUAAACUCUGUUUCUAUAUGGUAACUUCUGAGUAAAACCAUAAAUAAAUCAAAACUUUCAACAACGGAUCUCUUGGUUCUGGCAUC